ACCCGCAUGAAGAUUUUAAAGGCUACAGUUUUAAACCCAGCCAUGCUGCUACCUGAUAGCCAGCCAGAGAAUCCCAUACAUGAUUGCCAGCAAAUAAUGGACGUCAUCCACACCGCUUGACUGGACUUCACUGAUAUUCCCCUACAGAAUCCGGAGGAGGUACUGUAUACUGAUGGCAGCAGCUUCAUGGUCGAUGGAGUCAGAUUGGCUACUGUUUUACAACCCUGAGUCACUGAGCCCCCACCUCGAAGGGCCAAAGGCGGGAAAAGUUUCUGCUUCCCAAACAAAGUUCCGAGGAGCCAGAGACUGGAAACCUGAGACAAAGUCCAGAGACGAGAAACCUGAGACAAAGUCCAUAAGAGCCAGAGGCAGGAAAAGCGGAGACAAAGCCUCUAGCUGGCCAGAGGCGGGAGAAUUCCUACGUUUGAAACAAAGCCCCCGCCCACCCGGGGAAGUCCCUCUAACACAGUCGCUCACAAAGAGAAUACACCAAAUGAACCCGAAGAACCACGUGGCUAAGUGACAUACAACCCUAAGAAAGAUAGCCAAAUUCACAAUUCAAAGAUAAAACAAUUCUGGAUAAAAUUAAAUAAACACAGCACAUGAAUCA
rnacentral:lncRNA from 13 species